CGGGGUUGGGCGUCCGCUGGCUGUUACCAGGGCAACCGGAGGCGGUUGACAGUUAUCCGCGGGUUGGAGUGGUUAGCUGGAGAGGCUGAGAUGCUCAGAGGUCGUUUGGGAUGAGCGAAGGGGUCAAGAGGGCCCUUUUAAAGAGCAGAUUCUCCUGUCAGGAGGUUAUCCAGUUGUGCCCCGCAGGAGCGCCUGCCCGGGGGAUCUGGGUCAUGCCGUCUGGUUCGUCUUUGAGCAUUCCGACGAGAUGAAAUGUGGCCCAGAGUAGCUCCUGUCACUUCUCUAGCUUUCUGCCUCCUUUUAGAAAAUUGAGUUGAAGAGACAGAGAUGAAGUGGACGCAGCAUGUGAAGACAAUUCUUUCAAGAAGUUUGGCUGUAAAGGAGAAAAAAAAGGUGCUAUAGACCGUAUAAGCACAGAGCAGACAGGCCACCUUUGCUGCCACGUGGAGGCUUGUCUAAAAUGGAGGCUAAAGAAGCCAACCUGGAAGACAGAACCCAAGUCCGGAUGACAGCACUUGAUCCCAGGAAUCCAGACACGCCUAAAGACCAGCUUUACCACUGGACUUUCCAGUUAAAGGAGCCAGUAAACUCUCUUUUAUGCUAAUCUUGGGUUUUAUCUGGGUUUUUGUCGUUUACUAUUCAGAACAUCCUAAUACAUCAUUAAAUCAACAUUAUUUGUUUCUUCUAUGCGUUGUUUAAAUCUGUUACUCUACGAUGUACUCGAUAAUGUAAUCUACAGUUCUCACUAAAUUAAUCCGUAAAUUGAGUGCAAUCCAAACCUUAAUCCCAAUGGUAUUUUAAGAGCUUUUGUUGUUUUGGAACUAAGAAAAAUUACUCCAAAAUUCACUGAGAAAAAACAUUAAAAUACAAGAAAAUAGGGAGAGAAUUCAUAAAAAAGAAUUGUAUAAUCAGAUAGUAAAUAUCAAAAUAGAGAGCAAGAAUAAUAAACGUAGGGUGGUAAUGGAGUAGCAAUAAGCAGUCAUGGAACAGAAUUCAAAGUGUGAGUAUAUGUAGGAGUAUUUGCCAUAUUUAAUAUCUGGUAAGUCAAGAAAAGGUUAAGUAAAUAAAGUAUUUAAGGACAAUGAGCUAGAUUUGAAGGAGAAAAAUAGAUAGGUCUUUACCUUAUUCAUCAUUCCAGAAUAAAUUCCAAAUGGAUUUAUGACUUAAAUAUAAAAAUCGAAGCCAGAUUCUCAAUAUACAUUGGUUGGUGUAUAAUUGGUACACUCUUUAGCAAUAUCUGUUAA